UACGUAGGGCGCAAGCGUUGUCCGGAAUUAUUGGGCGUAAAGAGCUCGUAGGCGGUUUGUCGCGUCUGCUGUGAAAACCUAAGGCUCAACCUUGGGCUUGCAGUGGGUACGGGCAGACUAGAGUGCGGUAGGGGGUGACUGGAAUUCCUGGUGUAGCGGUGGAAUGCGCAGAUAUCCAGGAGGAACACCUGUGGUGUAGACAGCUUACUGGACCAUUUCUGACGCUGAGACACGAAAGCGUGGGGAGCAAACAGG
rnacentral:rRNA from 1 species